AGCACGAGCCGGUCACGUGCCAUAGCCACGCACCGAGCGGGAGCUUAUACGAACAAUAUACGUAUUGAAAAACUCUGUCCAAAGCAAGUGUACUGAACGGUACGCAGAAGAAGGGACGUCUGCGGUCUGCCGCGACGCGGAGAGGAAGACAAGACGGUUGUGGUCACGUGAUCUUGUUGUGAGCGUGCGCCAUAUGUCACCGAGAGCAGCUUCGAAGAGCGGCACGCUUCUAAAAUAGUAGUGAGGCGGUUCGCGGUACCAGCGCCGCAAGGCGCCAUCCAAAUAGCACGGCUGCAAGGCCGUACUCCCUACCUGAUAUCAUCUUGCACAUGAAAUCAUCCCAAAAUGGCAUCCAUCACAACGCCCCAGUCUUCGUUAGGCUGCAAUAGUGGAAGACGAUACAGACGCGCAGCGUGCGACCGUGCUCUCCAGUUUCUGUAAAAGUAGUUGGAGGAGAGAAUUCGGAUUUUCAUGCCGGAGCCCGGAGCAACCGCUUCUUUCAAGCGGCAGCCAGAUCCCCGAAGAGCGUUUCGAAGGCGGUGCCGACUUUCCAUUGGUUGCUCUCUCUGCCUCUUUCUUCUCGCCCCUCGAUUGUAGGGAGAGCAGAGGGAGAGGAGGCACUCCGCCGCUCGCGUCAUUUGCGGCCAUAAUUUAGUGAUCGCCGGUGUGCGUAGACGGCGGGACAUCGGGUGCGUAUGUGAAACGUUGAAGUGAUACAACUUUUCGGAACGGAGAAUCAUG